AGUGAACGCUGGCGGUAGGCCUAACACAUGCAAGUCGAACGGCAGCACAGUAAGAGCUUGCUCUUACGGGUGGCGAGUGGCGGACGGUUGAGGAAUACAUCGGAAUCUACUUUUUCGCGGGGGAUAACGUAGGGAAACUUACGCUAAUACCGCAUACGACCUACGGGUGAAAGCAGGGGAUCUUCGGACCUUGCGCGAUUGAAUGAGCCGAUGUCGGACUAGCUAGUUGGCGGGGUAAAGGCCCACCAAGGCGACGAUCCGUAGCUGGUCUGAGAGGAUGAUCAGCCACACUGGAACUGAGACACGGUCCAGACUCCUACGGGAGGCAGCAGUGGGGAAUAUUGGACAAUGGGCGAAAGCCUGAUCCAGCCAUACCGCGUGGGUGAAGAAGGCCUUCGGGUUGUAAAGCCCUUUUGUUGGGAAAGAAAAGCAGCAGGUUAAUACCCCGCUGUUCUGACGGUACCCAAAGAAUAAGCACCGGCUAACUUCGUG
rnacentral:rRNA from 1 species